UCACCGCGACCCAGAGGGCACAGCUGGAGAGGGGCUGCCGGCAGGGGGAUGGGGGUCAGCUGUGCCCCGUAGACGCGUUGGCACCUGGGCGCAGCUGCCUCUCGGUCCUACCGCCAGACGAAGGCAACCCCGGCCCCCGGCGGAUGGGGACGUGGCAUGCCGCGCCGACAGCAGCGAGCUGGGGUCGUGGUCGCCUCCACCCCCGUGACUUUUGGCUUUGUUUCAGGGACUUCUGUAGUUAAAAACGGUCGGUUUGAAUCUCUGCAGGGCCGUUUGUCGUCCGAACAGCUCCAUAACCAGACGAAUUUCCGGGAAUCGGGCACGCACGCCUCCCUCGUGGCUCCUGGACAGCGCGACGGGUCCCCAGCCUGAGCGCGCAGCUACCGCGGGGUGGACAGUCCGUGCCUGUCCGUGCCCAGGAAUGCGACCGGAAGCUCAGAUGCAAACUAUUUGGGGCUGUGCAGUUCCCGAAUUUGGAAACGUUCUGGGAACUGGGCCAAGGCCUUGCAGCCAUCUGCCCAGCAGGUGCCUGGGACUGCAGUCCAGGGUUCCCAGGGCCCAGGCACGUGGCCCACCGCUGCUCACCUGACCUACACCUCUGCGGGCCAGAAGCAAGACUGACCAUGGGACCCCACGUUGGAAAGGUGCUGCUUUUCCCUUGAGAGAGAGAACAGGAAGAAGACAGAGAAGACUGCCCCCCAGCCUGCGAGGGCUCCCCAGGGGAGAAGGGAUCUUGAAACUGGGGCAGGAGGCCAAGAGAGAAGCUUUGCAAGAGAGAGAAAAGGCCCCUAGGGUCGACUUCAGCUCCAGGUGACUCCGGUUCUGACCCGGGCUCUGGCCCUUCCUCCACAGCACCCAGUGCCUUCUAAGAGGUGCAGGCCCACUGGGGCCUGGGGUUAAGAGUCUGCUCUGGGGCUACACCCCCUGCUGCCCCUCAGACCACCUGGAGUGUGUUGACCAGCUGCUCAGGCCCCACCCCGAUCAGGCUCUGGAUCAGUGGGCUGGGCGUGGGCCAGGGGAUCUGCAUUCCUCACAUGCACCCUGACCAGCACUUAGGCCGGGAUUUCCAGGUUCCUGGGUGUACUUCCUCCUCUCCCACCCACCGUCCUCUGUCCCCAGAGAAUCAGUGGUCUACAGCAGGGCUCUGCCUGGUUUUGAGCACAGCUCAGCUCA